rnacentral:rRNA from 1 species
UACGUAGGGUGCGAGCGUUGUCCGGAAUUAUUGGGCGUAAAGAGCUUGUAGGCGGUUUGUCGCGUCUGCCGUGAAAGCCCAGGGCUUAACCCUGGGUCUGCGGUGGGUACGGGCAGACUAGAGUGUGGUAGGGGAGACUGGAAUUCCUGGUGUAGCGGUGGAAUGCGCAGAUAUCAGGAGGAACACCGGUGGCGAAGGCGGGUCUCUGGGCAGUAACUGACGCUGAGGAGCGAAAGCGUGGGGAGCGAACAGG